GCAAGAUUUUAGUCCAGGGUGGUAUGUUUCAAUCAUUUUUGCAACACAUUUUGAAUAAAAGUCCACCUAAGAAAUUGUCAUUGUUACUGAGAGGGAGCCAUAUAAAGUCAUUUUUUUCCUUUGUCACAGGCAAUUCCCUCCAUCACCGCACCUCAAUAUAGAACAUCAUUUUGUUUCUCUAGAGGCUUGAGGUGUCUAUUUGUAUAAAAGCAACAUCUAUGAUGAAACCAUCAUCACUUUAACUCCAUGGUUUUCUCAAUAUGGCACAGAAAUUACAUGACUGAUAUUUCAAACUGACAGUUCCAUUAAAUUAUAAUCAACAUUAUAUUCUAUGGUUUUGUUUUUUACUGAGACCUUUACAAAUUGCUUCAUUUUAUGCUUCUGCUCUGAUUAUUUUCCAUUGCUACAUUAUAAGCCACAUUCUGUUGGAAAAAAAAGAGAAAUAAGCAGCUGCUACUCUUUUUUUAAUCUUUCUGUGUUUUG
rnacentral:lncRNA from 1 species